CCUAAUACAUGCAAGUCGGACGGGAUCCGUCGGAGAGCUUGCUCGAAGACGGUGAGAGUGGCGCACGGGUGCGUAACGCGUGAGCAACCUACCUCUAUCAGGGGGAUAGCCUCUCGAAAGAGAGAUUAACACCGCAUAACAUCAACAGUUCGCAUGUUCAGUUGAUUAAAUAUUUAUAGGAUAGAGAUGGGCUCGCGUGACAUUAGCUAGUUGGUAGGGUAAUGGCUUACCAAGGCGACGAUGUCUAGGGGCUCUGAGAGGAGAAUCCCCCACACUGGUACUGAGACACGGACCAGACUCCUACGGGAGGCAGCAGUAAGGAAUAUUGGUCAAUGGGCGGAAGCCUGAACCAGCCAUGCCGCGUGCAGGAUGACUGCCCUAUGGGUUGUAAACUGCUUUUGUCCAGGAAUAAACCUAUCUACGUGUAGAUAGCUGAAUGUACUGGAAGAAUAAGGAUCGGCUAACUCCGUGCCAGCAGCCGCGGUAAUACGGAGGAUCCGAGCGUUAUCCGGAUUUAUUGGGUUUAAAGGGUGCGUAGGCGGCCUAUUAAGUCAGGGGUGAAAUACGGUGGCUCAACCAUCGCAGUGCCUUUGAUACUGAUGGGCUUGAAUCCAUUUGAAGUAGGCGGAAUAAGACAAGUAGCGGUGAAAUGCAUAGAUAUGUCUUAGAACUCCGAUUGCGAAGGCAGCUCACUAAGCUGGUAUUGACGCUGAUGCACGAAAGCGUGGGGAUCGAGCAGGAUUAGAUACCCUGGUAGUCCACGCCCUAAACGAUGAUAACUCGAUGUUGGCGAUAGACAGCCAGCGUCCCAGCGAAAGCGUUAAGUUAUCCAUCCUGGGGACGUAGCCCGGGCAAAG
rnacentral:rRNA from 1 species